CCCUACGGGGCGCAGCAGUGGGGAAUAUUGCACAAUGGGGGAAACCCUGAUGCAGCGACGCCGCGUGAGUGAAGAAGCGCCUCGGCGCGUAAAGCUCUGUCAGCAGGAACGAUAAUGACGGUACCUGAAGAAGAAGCCCCGGCUAACUACGUGCCAGCAGCCGCGGUAAUACGUAGGGGGCAAGCGUUAUCCGGAUUUACUGGGUGUAAAGGGAGCGUAGACGGUGAUGCAAGUCAGAAGUGAAAGCCCGCGG
rnacentral:rRNA from 1 species